UACAGAGGUCUCAAGCGUUGUUCGGAUUCAUUGGGCGUAAAGGGUGUGUAGGUGGCGCCGUAAGUCGGGUGUGAAAUCUCGGGGCUUAACUCCGAAACUGCAUUCGAUACUGCAUUGCUAGAGUAUGGGAGAGGGAAGUGGAAUUUCCGGUGUAGCGGUGAAAUGCGUAGAUAUCGGAAGGAACAUCAGUGGCGAAAGCGACUUCCUGGACCAAUACUGACGCUCAUGUGCGAAAGCGUGGGGAGCAAACAGG
rnacentral:rRNA from 1 species